UACAGAGGUCUCGAGCGUUAAUCGGAGUCACUGGGCUUAAAGGGUGCGUAGGCGGCGCUGCAAGUGCCUUGUGAAAUCCCAUCGCUCAACGAUGGAAUUGCUCGGUAGACUGCAGUGCUUGAGGUUGGUAGGGGCUGCCGGAACUCUAGGUGGAGCGGUGAAAUGCGUAGAUAUCUAGAGGAACGCCAAAGGUGAAGACAGGCAGCUGGGCCAAUGCUGACGCUGAGGCACGAAAGCGUGGGGAGCGAACGGG
rnacentral:rRNA from 1 species